rnacentral:rRNA from 1 species
UACGAAGGGGGCUAGCGUUGCUCGGAAUUACUGGGCGUAAAGCGCACGUAGGCGGAUUGGCAAGUUGGGGGUGAAAUCCCGGGGCUCAACCCCGGAACUGCCUCCAAGACUUCCAGUCUUGAGUCCGAGAGAGGUGAGUGGAAUUCCGAGUGUAGAGGUGAAAUUCGUAGAUAUUCGGAGGAACACCAGUGGCGAAGGCGGCUCACUGGCUCGGUACUGACGCUGAGGUGCGAAAGCGUGGGGAGCAAACAGG